UACGAAGGGGGCUAGCGUUGUUCGGAAUUACUGGGCGUAAAGCGUGCGCAGGCGGCUUCUCAAGUCAGGGGUGAAAGCCCAGAGCUCAACUCUGGAAUUGCCUUUGAGACUGAGUGGCUUGAGUACGGGAGAGGUGAGUGGAAUUCCCAGUGUAGAGGUGAAAUUCGUAGAUAUUGGGAAGAACACCGGUGGCGAAGGCGGCUUACUGGUCCAUAACUGACGCUGAGGUGCGAAAGCGUGGGGAGCAAACAGG
rnacentral:rRNA from 1 species